CAGCAGCCGCGGGAAUACGUAGGUGGCAAGCGUUGUCCGGAAUUAUUGGGCGUAAAGGGCUCGCAGGCGGUUUCUUAAGUCUGAUGUGAAAGCCCCCGGCUCAACCGGGGAGGGUCAUUGGAAACUGGGAAACUUGAGUGCAGAAGAGGAGAGUGGAAUUCCACGUGUAGCGGUGAAAUGCGUAGAGAUGUGGAGGAACACCAGUGGCGAAGGCGACUCUCUGGUCUGUAACUGACGCUGAGGAGCGAAAGCGUGGGGAGCGAGCAGGAUAAGAUACCCCCGUAGUCCCUGUCUCUUAUAC
rnacentral:rRNA from 1 species